AUUGAACGCUGGCGGCAUGCUUUACACAUGCAAGUCGAACGGCAGCACGGGUGCUUGCACCUGGUGGCGAGUGGCGAACGGGUGAGUAAUACAUCGGAACGUGCCCUAUCGUGGGGGAUAACGCAGCGAAAGUUGCGCUAAUACCGCAUACGCCCUGAGGGGGAAAGCGGGGGACCGUAAGGCCUCGCGCGAUUGGAGCGGCCGAUGUCUGAUUAGCUUGUUGGUGAGGUAAAGGCUCACCAAGGCAACGAUCAGUAGCUGGUCUGAGAGGACGAUCAGCCACACUGGGACUGAGACACGGCCCAGACUCCUACGGGAGGCAGCAGUGGGGAAUUUUGGACAAUGGGGGCAACCCUGAUCCAGCAAUGCCGCGUGAGUGAAGAAGGCCUUCGGGUUGUAAAGCUCUUUUGUCAGGGAAGAAACAGCAGCUUUAAUACAGCAUGCGAAUGACGGUACCUGAAGAAUAAGCACCGGCUAACUACGUGCCAGCCGCCGCAGUAA
rnacentral:rRNA from 1 species